UGCCUAACACAUGCAAGUCGAACGAAGCAGCAAUGCUUAGUGGCAGACGGGUGAGUAACGCGUAGAUAAUGUGCCCUCUUGCGGGGGAUACCGUUUCGAAAGGAACGUUAAUACCGCAUAAAGUCCUUGGGAGGCAUCUCCUAGGGACCGAACUUCCGGGGCGGGAGGAGCAAUCUGCGUACUAUCAGGUAGUUGGUGAGGUAACGGCUCACCAAGCCUACGACGGUUAACUGGUCUGAGAGGAUGAUCAGUCACACUGGAACUGAGACACGGUCCAGACUCCUACGGGAGGCAGCAGUGAGGAAUAUUGCGCAAUGGGCGAAAGCCUGACGCAGCGACGCCGCGUGGAGGAUGACGGUCUUCGGAUUGUAAACUCC
rnacentral:rRNA from 1 species